rnacentral:rRNA from 1 species
GAUGAACGCUGGCGGCGUGCCUAAUACAUGCAAGUCGAGCGAACAGACGAGGAGCUUGCUCCUCUGACGUUAGCGGCGGACGGGUGAGUAACACGUGGAUAACCUACCUAUAAGACUGGGAUAACUUCGGUAAACCGGAUCUAAUACCGGAUAAUAUAUUGAACCGCAUGGUUCAAUAGUUCACGACGGUUUUGCUGUCACUUAUAGAUGGAUCCGCGCCGCAUUAGCUAGUUGGUAAGGUAACGGCUUACCAAGGCGACGAUGCGUAGCCGACCUGAGAGGGUGAUCGGCCACACUGGAACUGAGACACGGUCCAGACUCCUACGGGAGGCAGCAGUAGGGAAUCUUCCGCAAUGGGCGAAAGCCUGACGGAGCAACGCCGCGUGAGUGAUGAAGGUCUUCGGAUCGUAAAACUCUGUUAUUAGGGAAGAACAAAUGUGUAAGUAACUAUGCACGUCUUGACGGUACCUAAUCAGAAAGCCACGGCUAACUACGUG